CAGGCUGGAGCGCAGUGGCACAAUCUCGCCUCACAGCAACCUUCGUCUCCCAGGUUCAAGUGAGUCUUCUGCCUCAGCCUCCCAAGUAGCUGGGAUUACAGGCGUGCACCACCACUCUGUCAGAAGGUGACAUAACUGAAGUACAACAAGGAAGCUGAUUUCAGCUCUACUAGCUACGGGUCAUCUCCAAAAAGCAAGAGCUUCCACAAGAUGUUUUAUUAUCAAGAAAAUGUAAAUAUCAGUACUUCCAAGUAGGCAUAAGACAAUAAAAAUCGAGCAUUUCACAGUUGCUUUUUAAAAAACAAUUAUAAACGA
rnacentral:lncRNA from 1 species